rnacentral:snoRNA from 1 species
AUCCCAUGAUGUGGCCAUCUUCUCAAUAGUUCUUUAAAUUUCUCCCAAGCUUCAUACAAGGAUUCACCUUCAAAUUGUGUGAAUAAGCUUAUAUCAUUCCUUAUCUU